rnacentral:rRNA from 1 species
GACGAACGCUGGCGGCGUGCCUAAUACAUGCAAGUCGAGCGAAGUUUUUCUGGUGCUUGCACCGGAAAGACUUAGCGGCGAACGGGUGAGUAACACGUAAAGAACCUGCCUUAUAGACUGAGACAACUAUUGGAAACGAUCGCUAAUACCGGAUAACAGCAUUAACUGCGGGGUUGAUGUUUGAAAGUUGGUUUUGCUAACACUAUGAGAUGUCUUUGCGGUGCAUUAGCUAGUUGGUGGGGUAAAGGCCUACCAAGGCGACGAUGCAUAGCCGACCUGAGAGGGUGAUCGGCCACACUGGGACUGAGACACGGCCCAGACUCCUACGGGAGGCAGCAGUAGGGAAUCUUCCGCAAUGGGCGAAAGCCUGACGGAGCAACGCCGCGUGAGUGAAGAAGGAUUUCGGUUCGUAAAGCUCUGUUGUUAGGGAAGAACGAUUGUGUAGGAACUAUACACAGUAGAGACGGUACCUAACCAAAAAGCCACGGCUAACUACGUG